rnacentral:tRNA from 1 species
CCCGUGAUAGCUCAGUUGGUAGAGCGGAGGACUGUAGUGGUCUGUCUCAGGCAUCCUUAGGUCGGCGGUUCGACUCCGUCUCGCGGGA